ACCAGACCUGCAAUUCGUUUCAAUCUCUAAGAACCCGGAGAACGUAGGUGAUUGUGCUAAUAACUCGUUCGACAAUUUCGCUCGAAUAAACAGUUUCUGCAAGAUAUAAAUAAAAAGCUGCCUAAUUACUUCCUCGGACACCGCACGAACUCGCGAUGCAACCGUUGAUAUUGCUACGUACUUUUUCCUUUUUCCUGAGCCCCGCGCUGGCUACCGGUUUUACAGCGACCGUUGAAUUUAACUGUCUAUUAAUUAAUGCGGGCCGAUUAAUUUCCGUCACGGCAUAAAAACGCAGUUCCAUGGAAAAUUAUGAUGGCGCAAGGUCUCGCCUCCGCGCCAUUUCCCUACGAUUCGUAUGUCAUCGAACCAUCGUUCUACAGAUCCAUGUGAAAAAUACCGACAUGUUGCGGGUAUUUCGUUUCGGGAAACUAGAAAAGAGGAGUAAAAUAAAAUUGUUUACAAGCUGAAAAAUAAACCUCCAAGGACGUGUUUGCUUGAUGUCUACAAUUCACCCUGUACGUAAAUAUCCAUCAAAUAUUUCACCACAUCCUGUACAAGUACAGAGCUAGAGGGAAUUAAGCUAAAGCACGUAACAACUGCGUUAAAUCAAAUUCAACGUUGGGAUUAAUACUGAAAUGAGGAUGAGUAUGAAAUAAAAACUUGGCAGAAACUUAAUAGAAAGGAAUAAUCAAAAUUUAGUAUGAAGUCCUGUAUUAUUUUUUGCUGUGUCUAUGAAAUAAG
rnacentral:misc_RNA from 1 species